rnacentral:rRNA from 1 species
CGUAACGCGUAUGCAACUACCUUAUACAGGGGGAUAACCUUUCGAAAGGGAGACUAAUACCGCAUUAACAUUACUUUGAGGCAUCUUGAGGUAAUUAAAUCUUCGGAGGUAUAAGAUGGGCAUGCGUAGCAUUAGCUAGAUGGUGCGGUAACGGCGUACCAUGGCGACGAUGGAUAGGGGUUCUGAGAGGAAGGUCCCCCACAUUGGAACUGAGACACGGUCCAAACUCCUACGGGAGGCAGCAGUGAGGAAUAUUGGUCCAAUGGACGGAAGUCUGAACCAGCCAAGUAGCGUGAAGGAUGACUGCCCUAUGGGUUGUAAACUUCUUUUGUCGUGGAACAAAACCUGCCACGUGUGGCAGUUUGCGUGUACACGUUGAAUAAGCAUCGGCUAACUCCGUG